GACGAACGCUGGCGGCGUGCCUAAUACAUGCAAGUCGAGCGAAUCUUGAGGUGCUUGCACCUCUUGGUUAGCGGCGGACGGGUGAGUAACACGUGGGCAACCUGCCUGUAAGACUGGGAUAACUUCGGGAAACCGGAGCUAAUACCGGAUAAUCCUUUUCCUCUCAUGAGGAAAAGCUGAAAGUCGGUUUCGGCUGACACUUACAGAUGGGCCCGCGGCGCAUUAGCUAGUUGGUGAGGUAACGGCUCACCAAGGCGACGAUGCGUAGCCGACCGGGGAGGGUGAUCGGCCACACUGGGACUGAGACACGGCCCAGACUCCUACGGGAGGCAGCAGUAGGGAAUCUUCCGCAAUGGACGAAAGUCUGACGGAGCAACGCCGCGUGAGCGAUGAAGGCCUUCGGGUCGUAAAGCUCUGUUGUUAGGGAAGAACAAGUAUCGGAGUAACUGCCGGUACCUUGACGGUACCUAACCAGAAAGCCACGGCUAACUACGUGCCAGCCGCCGCUGUAA
rnacentral:rRNA from 1 species